GGUCCCUGGAGGACUAGUGGUUAGGCCACAUCGCUCUCACUGCUGUUGCCCGGGUUCGAGUCCCAGGGAACCA